UGAUAGAGGUCGCGGCUAACAUCAGUAGUUUCCAUUGUUCGGACAGGAAUCCGGGAAACGAAAGGGGAAGCCGCCGAAGGGAUACAGUUUGUUCCUGCAGCUGUAUUGCCUGGGACAUCGGAGAAGAUCCGAUGGACUGUCGCCCUUUCUUUGGGCGGAGCGCUGUCA
rnacentral:ncRNA from 1 species